rnacentral:ncRNA from 2 species
ACCUCAUCCAGAGCGGCCGAGAGACGUGGCUCCACGACGCCGCGGCAACCCGGCGGACCGACAGGUCCGACCACGGGUGCCACUGCCACGAACGAUGCGAA